AUUGAACGCUGGCGGCAGGCUUAACACAUGCAAGUCGAGCGGGGGAAGGUAGCUUGCUACUGGACCUAGCGGCGGACGGGUGAGUAAUGCUUAGGAAUCUGCCUAUUAGUGGGGGACAACAUCUCGAAAGGGAUGCUAAUACCGCAUACGUCCUACGGGAGAAAGCAGGGGAUCUUCGGACCUUGCGCUAAUAGAUGAGCCUAAGUCGGAUUAGCUAGUUGGUGGGGUAAAGGCCUACCAAGGCGACGAUCUGUAGCGGGUCUGAGAGGAUGAUCCGCCACACUGGGACUGAGAAACGGCCCAGACUCCUACGGGAGGCAGCAGUGGGGAAUAUUGGACAAUGGGGGGAACCCUGAUCCAGCCAUGCCGCGUGUGUGAAGAAGGCCUUAUGGUUGUAAAGCACUUUAAGCGAGGAGGAGGCUACUCUAGUUAAUACCUAGGGAUAGUGGACAUUACUCGCAGAAUAAGCACCGGCUAACUCUGUGCCAGCCAGCCGCGGUAA
rnacentral:rRNA from 1 species